rnacentral:rRNA from 1 species
AACGUAGGAGGCUAGCGUUAUCCGGAUUUAUUGGGCGUAAAGCGCGUGCAGGCGGUUUAUCAAGUUGGAUGUGAAAGCUCCUGGCUUAACUGGGAGAGGUCGUUCAAAACUGAUAGACUAGAGAAUGGUAGAGGGAGGUGGAAUUCCGGGUGUAGUGGUGAAAUGCGUAGAUAUCCGGAGGAACACCAGUGGCGAAAGCGGCCUCCUGGGCCAUUUCUGACGCUAAGACGCGAAAGCUAGGGUAGCAAACGGG